AACCAUCACCUUGUCCACCCCCAUCAUCAACACCAAAACCACCUCAUCAUCCCAAACCCCCAGCAGUACACCCACCACAUGUUCCAAAACCACAUCCACCUUAUGUUCCAAAACCACCAAUUGUUAAACCUCCAAUAGUACAUCCACCUUACGUACCAAAACCCCCAGUUGUGAAACCACCACCAUAUGUCCCUAAACCACCUGUUGUGAGACCACCCUAUGUUCCUAAACCACCAGUUGUACCUGUAACACCACCUUAUGUUCCUAAGCCACCAAUUGUUUUCCCACCACAUGUUCCUCUACCUCCAGUUGUACCAUCACCACCACCUUAUGUACCAACACCUCCAAUUGUGAAACCACCAAUUGUUUUUCCACCACAUGUUCCUCUACCUCCAGUUGUGCCUGUAACACCACCUUAUGUGCAACCACCACCUAUUGUAACUCCACCAACACCAACACCUCCAAUUGUGACACCACCAACACCACCUAGUGAAACACCUUGUCCUCCACCACCACUUGUACCUUAUCCACCACCAC
rnacentral:lncRNA from 1 species